UGGCGAACAUAGCAAGAGUGAACCACCUGAUCCCUUCCCGAACUCAGAAGUGAAACCUCUUAGCGCUGAUGGUAGUGUGGGAUUACCCAUGUGAGAGUAAGUCAUCGCCAGCUC
rnacentral:rRNA from 1 species